UCCGCCCCUUAUAGAAUCGAUUAUUGAUGGGAAGAUAUUAUUUAACUAUCCAAAAUAUUAUUUAAUUAUUUUCAGAAUUAUUUUCUUUCAAUGUUUAUUCAAAUAGAACUUAAACCCAUCUCAGAAUUUUUAAAUGCUUGAUGACGUCACAUUUAAAACGUGGCAACAUUGGUUUCCCCACUUUGACAGCCAAUGCUUAGUAGAGGGGUACGAAGGAUUCAGCUGUGAACGUGAGCCUUGGAUUGCCAUUGUUUCUCGAGUGUUCGGUCUGAAUCGUAGUGUGCGGGGUCAUUAGACUCAAUUAUUCACCUCUAAUUCUCAGUUCCAAAUUGAUUAAAUAUUACAAUAAAAGUAUAGUGAAGUUAUCCAGCAGCAGUGGAUUUGAAGAAUUUUAGAGCAUACUAUAUCCAAUGAGUUCUACCCCGCACCUACCAUGAAAUCUUAAAGCCACCCUACAACAACACCAAGGCCAGACCACACAGAGAGAAACAAUCAAUAGGCGACCAGCCUGGAUUAUUUCCACAUUUUCUUUUUUUUUGAGUACCUCCAGCUGCUUUCCAACAGUUUUGAGUACCUUCAACUGCUUUCUACCAGUCUUCCUCUCCUGUACCUCCAGCAGGACAGCUGCUAGCGAGAGUUAGCACCCUUGGGUGCUCAUUACAUCAACUUCAAGAUUAGGAAAGAGUGGUUUGUUUGGGAACAUUUACUGUGCUCUUAUUAAAGACAGACUGGUUUUGUGAUAUUUAGUACAUUUUUUUUUAUAGUUCAAUUGCACACACAUUUUUCCUGCUUUAUAUUUUUUAUAGGUUUUUUUUUUCUUUACAACCUAAUAUUUAAUUGAUAGCGUUCCCCAACACUCUGCAAUCUAUAAAGGUAUAAAUUUCUGAGCUCAGAUAUUUUCCCUGAUAAUAGUAGUCGGUACUCUUAUCUUGAUUAUUUUUAGGCUGUGUUCCACUUUUGUAUAAUUAUUUAAACUCAUUCCAUUAUUUUAGUAUAUGUUUAAUUAAAUUUUUAAAAAUUAACUUCACAUAUUAGUCAAAAUUGUAAUUAUUAACUUUAUUUAACUUGAACUUAUUAACUUUACUUAACUUUAACUUAUUAACUUUAUUUAACUUUAACUUUAAUUUAUUAAAUUCAUAUGAACUUCUGGAUUCUAAUCCCUCAGAUUAGUUUUUGGUUUCACUUGUUAUUAUUACUAUUAUAAACCACGAGUUAGGAAAAGGAUCUGUGUAUCUACUCGUAGGUUUAUUUAUUCAAUAAGGCUUGUGCCUGUCCCACUCACAGUGAGGUAUUUAUAUGUUAUAUAUAGUAUCAGGUAGUAUUUAAUUAAGGUGUACGUAUUAUAAACGUACAAUUAUUAUUUGGUGAGGGUUCUACUAACCUAGUUGUAAGUUGUACUUCCUGUAUUAGAGGUACCCGUAGUCAGUUUUUCUAACCUUAUAAAGAGUAUUCUUAGAUCAUAGUUGUAUGAUGAUUUUGUAAUUGACUUUCACUAGUAUCACUUUUUCCUGUCAUGUUAGAGUUACACACUAGUUACUUGUCCUAACUCAGAGAUUGUUAAAAAGAUCUAGUAGUUACAUUCAAUAAAUAUACAUUUAUUGUGA